rnacentral:rRNA from 1 species
GACGAACGCUGGCGGCGUGCUUAACACAUGCAAGUCGAACGGUAAGGCUCCAGCUUGCUGGGGUACACGAGUGGCGAACGGGUGAGUAACACGUGGGUGACCUGCCCUGCACUUCGGGAUAAGCCUGGGAAACUGGGUCUAAUACCGGAUAGGACCGCACCGUGAGGGUGUGGUGGAAAGUUUUUUCGGUGUGGGAUGGGCCCGCGGCCUAUCAGCUUGUUGGUGGGGUAAUGGCCUACCAAGGCGGCGACGGGUAGCCGGCCUGAGAGGGUGGACGGCCACAUUGGGACUGAGACACGGCCCAGACUCCUACGGGAGGCAGCAGUGGGGAAUAUUGCACAAUGGGCGGAAGCCUGAUGCAGCGACGCCGCGUGGGGGAUGACGGCCUUCGGGUUGUAAACUCCUUUCACCAUCGACGAAGGGUUUCUGACGGUAGAUGGAGAAGAAGCACCGGCUAACUACGUGCCAGCAGCCGCGGUAAUACGUAGGGUGCGAGCGUUGUCCGGAAUUACUGGGCGUAAAGAGCUCGUAGGUGGUUUGUCGCGUCGUCUGUGAAAUUCCGGGGCUUGACUCCGGGCGUGCAGGCGAUACGGGCAUAACUUGAGUACUGUAGGGGAGACUGGAAUUCCUGGUGUAGCGGUGAAAUGCGCAGAUAUCAGGAGGAACACCGGUGGCGAAGGCGGGUCUCUGGGCAGUAACUGACGCUGAGGAGCGAAAGCAUGGGGAGCGAACAGGAUUAGAUACCCUGGUAGUCCAUGCCGUAAACGGUGGGCGCUAGGUGUGGGUUUCCUUCCACGGGAUCCGUGCCGUAGCUAACGCAUUAAGCGCCCCGCCUGGGGAGUACGGCCGCAAGGCUAAAACUCAAAGGAAUUGACGGGGGCCCGCACAAGCGGCGGAGCAUGUGGAUUAAUUCGAUGCAACGCGAAGAACCUUACCUGGGCUUGACAUAUACAGGAUCGCGCCAGAGAUGGUGUUUCCCUUGUGGCUUGUAUACAGGUGGUGCAUGGUUGUCGUCAGCUCGUGUCGUGAGAUGUUGGGUUAAGUCCCGCAACGAGCGCAACCCUUGUCUUAUGUUGCCAGCACGUUGUGGUGGGGACUCGUAAGAAACUGCCGGGGUUAACUCGGAGGAAGGUGGGGAUGACGUCAAAUCAUCAUGCCCCUUAUGUCCAGGGCUUCACACGUGCUACAAUGGUCGGUACAGUGGGUUGCCAGUCCGUGAGGGCGAGCUAAUCCCGCAAAGCCGGUCUCAGUUCGGAUCGGGGUCUGCAACUCGACCCCGUGAAGUCGGAGUCGCUAGUAAUCGCAGAUCAGCAACGCUGCGGUGAAUACGUUCCCGGGCC